rnacentral:rRNA from 1 species
GCCGGAAUCGCUAGUAAUCGCGGAUCAGAAUGCCGCGGUGAAUACGUUCCCGGGUCUUGUACACACCGCCCGUCACACCAUGGGAGUCGGAAAUGCCCGAAGCCGGUGAACCCAACCCGAAAGGGAGGGAGCCGUCGAAGGCAGGUCGGAUGACUGGGGUGAAGUCGUAACAAGGUAUC